rnacentral:rRNA from 1 species
AGGGUUCGAUUCUGGCUCAGGAUGAACGCUGGCGGCGUGCUUAACACAUGCAAGUCGAACGGGAUCCCAGGAGCUUGCUCCUGGGUGAGAGUGGCGAACGGGUGAGUAAUGCGUGACCGACCUGCCCCAUACACCGGAAUAGCUCCUGGAAACGGGUGGUAAUGCCGGAUGCUCCAGUUGGAUGCAUGUCCUUCUGGGAAAGAUUCAUCGGUAUGGGAUGGGGUCGCGUCCUAUCAGGUAGUCGGCGGGGUAACGGCCCACCGAGCCUACGACGGGUAGCCGGCCUGAGAGGGCGACCGGCCACAUUGGGACUGAGAUACGGCCCAGACUCCUACGGGAGGCAGCAGUGGGGAAUAUUGGGCAAUGGGCGCAAGCCUGACCCAGCAACGCCGCGUGAAGGAAGAAGGCUUUCGGGUUGUAAACUUCUUUUAAGAGGGAAGAGCAGAAGACGGUACCUCUAGAAUAAGCCACGGCUAACUACGUGCCAGCAGCCGCGGUAAUACGUAGGUGGCAAGCGUUGUCCGGAAUUAUUGGGCGUAAAGCGCGCGCAGGCGGCUUCUUAAGUCCAUCUUAAAAGUGCGGGGCUUAACCCCGUGAUGGGAUGGAAACUGAGAGGCUGGAGUAUCGGAGAGGAAAGUGGAAUUCCUAGUGUAGCGGUGAAAUGCGUAGAGAUUAGGAAGAACACCGGUGGCGAAGGCGACUUUCUGGACGACAACUGACGCUGAGGCGCGAAAGCGUGGGGAGCAAACAGGAUUAGAUACCCUGGUAGUCCACGCCGUAAACG